rnacentral:piRNA from 1 species
GUUUUGAGAAUUAGUGAAUGCAGGA